UACGUAGGUGACAAGCGUUUGUCCGGAUUUACUGGGCGUAAAGAGCGCGCAGGCGGUCGAUCAAGUCGAGUGUGAAAGCCCCCGGCUCAACUGGGGAGGGUCAUUCGAUACUGAUCGACUCGAAGGCAGGAGAGGGUAGUGGAAUUCCCCGGUGUAGUGGUGAAAUGCGUAGAUAUCGGGGAGGAACACCAGUGGCGAAGGCGACUACCUGGCCUGUUCUUGACGCUGAGGCGCGAAAGCUAGGGGAGCAAACGGG
rnacentral:rRNA from 1 species